rnacentral:rRNA from 1 species
AUUCCAGCUCCAAUAGCGUAUAUUAAUGUUGUUGCAGUUAAAAAGCUCGUAGUUGGAUUUCUGGUUGGACCGCGAUGCCGGACUCGCAAGGGUUCGUGAUUGUUGUGGUUUCCUUCCAUCCUCAGGUUUGCGCGUGCUGGCCUUAACUGGUCGGUGGGUGUGGUCCUGUCGUUUACUGUGAACAAAUUAGAGUGUUCAAAGCAAGGUGUACUUGAAUACAUUAGCAUGGAAUAAUAAGAUAGGACUUUGGUGGUUCUUUUUGAUAUUUUGUUGGUUUGCACGCCAAAGUAAUGAUUAAUAGGGAUAGUCGGGGGCAUUAGUACUUUGCUGUCAGAGGUGAAAUUCUCGGAUUUGCAAAAGACUAACUUAUGCGAAAGCAUUUGCCAAGGAUGUUUUCAUUG